rnacentral:lncRNA from 1 species
GUCAAUAUCAUAUCAAUUUCUAUAGUAAGUCUUGUGGAUAGCACAAUAAGCUCACUAAGAUCUUGACAUACUCUAUUGAUAAGUUUGAAGAAAGGCUCUUGCAAUGUCUACAUCACUAAACAAUCUAAGUCUGAAAUUUAAUAAGAUCAAACAGAUUAGGUCAGUAAGUGGGAGGCUCUCCAUAGCUUUUCUUAGAUACCAAUAAAGUUGGCC